GGAGAGAUGGCAGAGUGGUCGAAUGCACUGGUCUUGAAAACCAGCGAAGGUUUGUAGCCUUCCCAGGGUUCGAAUCCCUGUCUCUCCGCCA
rnacentral:tRNA from 1 species